AAUGUCACAAUUGCACUGUGUCCUGGUAGACUUGACGAUGCUUCACUUAGAACAUUGUUCUAUGAGGCAAUGGCCAUAGUUAACAGUCGCCCGCUUACAGUAGAUGGCAUUAAUGAUCCAAAUUCACUAGAGCCUCUAACUCCAAACCACCUAAUACUUAUGAAGUCUGAUGUUGCACUUCCACCUCCAGGAAAAUUUGUUAAAGAAGACAUGUAUGCUACGAAAAGAUGGCGAAGAGUCCAAUACUUGGUUGAGCAAUUUUGGAGUCGCUGGAAGAAGGAAUACUUGCUUAACAUUUCAACACGCCAAAAGUGGCACACUCCUCGCAGAAACCUCAGAGUAAAUGAUGUUGUAAUAAUCAAAGAGGAUAUGCUCCCAAGAAGUCAAUGGCAGUUGGGCAGAGUGGUUGAAACUGUCAAAGAGAGUGAUGGAUUUGUGAGAUGAGUAAAGGUACGAGUAGCAGAACGAAAGCUCACUAACAAACGUAAUCAGACCCCCAAGCUCUCAAUCAUUGAAAGACCGAUUCAGAAAUUAGUUGUACUUCUUGAAGAAGACUGACUGUUAGUAACUGGGAUGAUACACUCUCAUCAGACCAAAUAAUUAUUUCUGAAAUACUUGAUAGUCAUGAAAAGUAAAAGUGGUCAUGUUAUAGUUCAAAAUCAUGUUCUGAUUAAUUUCAGUUUGUUCUUUCAAUUCAUCAUAAAAUGAUUGGUGGGAGUGUAAGUGACCACUAAAUCAUUAUAUGCCUUUAAAUAAUUUUAGAGCAUCAGAGCAUGUCACGUGUUUCGGUAGCCUAGGUGACUAAUAGGUUAAUCAGGCUAGCAGGAGCGAAGAGAAGACACGUUGCUGUGCGAUUUAUGGAAAAAAGGAGGCUUAAUCCUGCACAAUUUAUUUAAUAGAACCCUUUGGGAAAGCGGAGCGAGUUUCACGGUGCUACGCAACGAAAGUUUAAUGGCUCUCGUCUUGAGCAUAAUAAAGAAUCAAGCACCCGUCA